AUCAGAAAGAUGUUAUCAAUAGAAUAAAUGGACAAGGGCCAAAGCAUUUAAAGUUCUUCUUAUUAGUCUUUGCAAAAGAUGAGGCCCAAGCCCAAAGCCCAAGCCCAAGAAGGCCCAAGCCCAAGAAUCCCAAGUCCAAACCAUGAGGGGCAAGGCCAAGCAUUAAAUAAAAGAGCAUCAUUUGAAUGACUCUUGUAGGAGGUGUGGAUAUUAAAUAAAUAGGUGUGAAUGUAUUAGAGAGAGUCAC
rnacentral:lncRNA from 1 species